AAACCAACUGGGAUUACCUUAGUAACGGCGAGUGAAGCGGUAAAAGCUCAAAUUUGAAAUCUGGUACUUUCAGUGCCCGAGUUGUAAUUUGUAGAAUUUGUCUUUGAUUAGGUCCUUGUCUAUGUUCCUUGGAACAGGACGUCAUAGAGGGUGAUAAUCCCGUUUGGCGAGGAUACCUUUUCUCUGUAAGACUUUUUCGAAGAGUCGAGUUGUUUGGGAAUGCAGCUCAAAGUGGGUGGUAAAUUCCAUCUAAAGCUAAAUAUUGGCGAGAGACCGAUAGCGAACAAGUACAGUGAUGGAAAGAUGAAAAGAACUUUGAAAAGAGAGUGAAAAAGUACGUGAAAUUGUUGAAAGGGAAGGGCAUUUGAUCAGACAUGGUGUUUUUGCAUGCACUCGCCUCUCGUGGGCUUGGGCCUCUCAAAAAUUUCACUGGGCCAACAUCAAUUUUGGCGGCAGGAAAAAUCUUUUGGAAUGUAGCUACCUCGGUAGUGUUAUAGCCUUUUGAAAUACUGUCAGCUGGGAUUGA
rnacentral:rRNA from 1 species